CUACCCGGGUUUCUAAUCCUGUUUGCUCCCCACGCUUUCGUUCCUCAGCGUCAGUUUAAGUCCAGUAAGUCGCCUUCGCCACCGGUAUUCUUCCUAAUAUCUACGCAUUUCACCGCUACACUAGGAAUUCCACUUACCUCUCCUUAACUCAAGUCUACCAGUUUCCAAUGCUUACAUGGGUUGAGCCCAUGCCUUUCACAUCGGACUUGGUAAACCGCCUGCGAACCCUUUACGCCCAGUGAUUCCGGACAACGCUCGCCCCCUACGUAUUACCGCGGCUGCUGGCAC
rnacentral:rRNA from 1 species